GAUGAACGCUGGCGGCGUGCCUAAUACAUGCAAGUCGAGCGAAUGGAUUAAGAGCUUGCUCUUAUGAAGUUAGCGGCGGACGGGUGGGUAACACGUGGGUAACCUGCCCAUAAGACUGGGAUAACUCCGGGAAACCGGGGCUAAUACCGGAUAACAUUUUGAACCGCAUGGUUCGAAAUUGAAAGGCGGCUUCGGCUGUCACUUAUGGAUGGACCCGCGUCGCAUUAGCUAGUUGGUGAGGUAACGGCUCACCAAGGCAACGAUGCGUAGCCGACCUGAGAGGGUGGUCGGCCACACUGGGACUGAAACACGGCCCAGACUCCUACGGGAGGCAGCAGUAGGGAAUCUUCCGCAAUGGACGAAAGUCUGACGGAGCAACGCCGCGUGAGUGAUGAAGGCUUUCGGGUCGUAAAACUCUGUUGUUAGGGAAGAACAAGUGCUAGUUGAAUAAGCUGGCACCUUGACGGUACCUAACCAGAAAGCCACGGCUAACUACGUGCCAGCCGCCGCUGUAA
rnacentral:rRNA from 1 species